rnacentral:rRNA from 1 species
ACGGACUUACAUUGAAGCCUAGCGAUAUGUAAGUUAGUGGCGGACGGGUGAGUAACGCGUGGGUAACCUGCCUUGUACUGGGGGACAACAGUUGGAAACGACUGCUAAUACCGCAUAAGCGCACAGCUUCGCAUGAAGCAGUGUGAAAAACUCCGGUGGUACAAGAUGGACCCGCGUCUGAUUAGCUGGUUGGUGAGGUAACGGCCCACCAAGGCGACGAUCAGUAGCCGGCCUGAGAGGGUGAACGGCCACAUUGGGACUGAGACACGGCCCAAACUCCUACGGGAGGCAGCAGUGGGGAAUAUUGCACAAUGGGGGAAACCCUGAUGCAGCAACGCCGCGUGAGUGAAGAAGUAUUUCGGUAUGUAAAGCUCUAUCAGCAGGAAAGAAA